rnacentral:lncRNA from 1 species
UAGCAGAUAGGACUCAAGACCCUAUCCUAGUGGACAUGAUUUCCUAUUGUGCUUGACCACUUCUAACCUGUCUGAGCCCAACACUGUCUCUAUAGGUCCGAUCAUGUGAACCUAGGGCUCUGAUACCAAUCUGUAACGACCCCAAAAAGGACCGUCACCGGCGCUCGGAUUCAGGUCGGCUUAAGGCCGCCAGAACCCGUAGCAAGCCUGCUAUACUCGCUAUGUACCUGUAAACCUCAUACAUGAUCAUACAUUUGCAGUAAAAAUAAAACUCUUUUCUGAACCAGGGCUUAACCUGUGCAUGCACUAUCUCUGUACUCUGUACUCAUGUACUCUGUACUCUGUAUCCCUGACUAGAGCUUGCUCUAGAUGGGUUAAUUCAUACCUGUUAAGCCUGGUUUUCACAUACAGGAAAAACAUAUAUACAUAUACAGAUCAUGUACAAAACAUACAUCACUAGGUCAAGCAACAACUAUUACAUCUUUUUCAUAUUCCAUGUCCACUCUAAGCUAUUACAGAUCUCUUCACUUUUCCUGUACUCUGCUGGACUGUCCCUGUACACUGUACACUGAACCUGCAAAACUGGGGUUAAGGGAGUGGGAUGAGCUCUAUAGCCCAGUGAGUAGAACAGUAAAACAUCUCAGUAAAAUAUGAUCUCAUGGAAUGCGCCAUAUCACAGACAAGCCACAUCAAGAGUAAACCUGUCACCACAUAGUCCCAGUAACUCUGUGCCAGGGCGUAGAAUCGAGCACCUGGUCUUCCUGUCAUAUAUGUAUAUGUGUAUAUAACACCUGUGAACUUACCAUUGCCAGGGCGUAGUCAAAGGCUCCUGGACUUUGCUAUAUACCUGCCAGGGCGUAGUCAAAGGCUCCUGGUCUUUGCUAUACGUGCCAGGGCGUAGUCAAAGGCUCCUGGACUUCCUGUCUGUGACUAUUGGAUCAUUCAGCAUUUACUCACAUCAUCAAAUAACAAUGCGAUGCAACAUAUUCGUGGAUACUAAUGCAAUCAUCCUAUGACAUAAUCAUGAUGCAUGAGAUAUGCUAAAAGCAGUUUGUAGUUUAAUUAAAAAUCAUCAGUCUUCAGUUUAGUUCCACUCACCUCUGGCUAACUGGACUGACUGACUCUGCAGGUUCUGAAUCUCUGGAGCAGUACUCACUGCUGCUCUCUCUGGUUCCUCUGGUCUGUAUAAGCACAUAAAGACUCAAAUGAGGGACCAAACAAGCUUAUGACCAACUCUCUUAAACUCCCCAAGAAUCCCCUUACACUCACUCUACUAGUCAUGCAAAACAAGCAAAGGAAAGCUGGACAGAACACUUUCGGCGGCAGGUUCGGCGGCCGAAUGUCCUCUCCAGAGACGAAACUCAAGCACCUUCGGCG